GGCAGCAGGGCAAGACCACUUGCCUGGCAUGAGGGCUCUCGGCCCUGGGGGUGCAGAGCAGCUGGGAGGCCGCUCUCCGUGUGAAACUCCCCGUCAGAUGUCCCUGCGGGAAGGCCGGCGGGGGGGAUGCUCCCCCGGCUCUGGAAUGAUCGCCCCUGGGCAAUCCCUCUGAUCCCUCCGAGGCUGCGGCAGCCUCCCCCUCUCUGCCUGGACUCACGGCCCCCAGCAUGGUUUUCUAACAGCCGAGGGGCCAACGCGUGCCCCUCACUCGGGGGGACCCCCGGAGGUGUCCCUGCUCUGUCACAGGCCUGGCCCUGCCCUGCCCUGCAGCGUGGCCAGAGCCGGAUCUUUCCAGGUGCGUUUCCCAUCCAUAAAUUACCAGAUUGUGCCCCAAAUCCUGGCCCUUGUUGCAAAAAGCCCCCAAGGCAGCAGACAGGGGCAGCACCCUCCGAGGCUCCCCUGAUCCUAGAUCCAUCCCUGAGCUCCCAUCUUCCUCACGGCUCUUCCUCCCAGACACCGGGGACAGCUUUUACCAGACGAAAGGACGCAAAUAUUUCCCCAGAUUAUUUCCCUUCUGAGGAAAAGGGGGAAAUCGCUGCCUUCCCCGGCUGGCAAGGAGCAGCAGAGAGACGGACGGAGCCCAGGGCUCCCCCAGCCCUGCCGGAGAUCCAGCCCCACAGCAGCAAGGGCAGGAUGCAGCAGCGGGGCCGGAGCAGGGAGGAUAAAUAAAGUCCGGCUUUGCCUUCCUGGCUCGUGGCCACUUCUAACACAAAGUACAUUCCGGUCUGGACGUAACGAACUGUACCAGCCUCCGCCGGGGAGGGCGGAUGGCUGGGGGUGCCGGGGCUGCCCGGUGGGGGUCGAGCUGGCGCCUCCGCCCGGGGCUGGGUGCAGGGGGGCCAGGGGGAUCAGUCCCCCCGAGGACGCUCGGCUGUGCCCUGCCCCGGAGAUGCUCCUGCCAGACGGAUCUGAGAGCCGAGAGCCGCUGGAGAUCGCCCGCAGCUCUGAGGGGACAUCUUCAAGGACUCCACUCACAGCCCCGAGGCCGGCCCUGAGGAUGGAGGAAAGGCUGAGAUCCUCACCUCAGCUUCAGGGGGAAAAAGUCAGAGUGGGAAAGCAGGAGCAUGUCUGACGUUGUUCCCUCUGUCACAGACACAGGCGAAGCCAAAGCAGCCGUGAAAAGUCAUCAACAAUUGGUUUUGGCAAGAAGAGGCAAACCAGAGCUUUCCAUGAAUUUAUUUUUUUUUCUUUUUGCUAGAAAGGUUGCUCUUCUCCCAGAGAGAGUUUGAAGGAUGGCUUCUGGCCAGCAUCAUCCCAAAGCCAUCUCCCUGGGACAGUGAAAACCUGGCCCAGAUUUAGGAAAACCCUAAGUCACAGGAGCAGGCCCCCACAUCCCUGGGGUCUGUACCCACUGUGCCCCACAACGUGGAGCUGCCAUGGACAGCUUGGGGUGUCCCAGACCAGCAGAGGGUGGUGGGGGCAGACUGGGGUAUCUCCCCAAGGAUUUGGGAUUCCCCAAAUCCCUGGUGCUGGCUGGGGCAUCCCAAACCCUGCAGGGAUGUGUUUCAUCCCUCUGGAUCCUGCUGCGGCCAAGGGACACCCUGAGAGGGGCUACUGCUCCCCCAGGAGCCCCAGGCACCCCCAGCCACAUCCUGAGGACCACCAGGGGUAAAGGCUUAUGGGGGGAACAAACCCCAGAGCCAAGAGCAGGAAGGGAGCCCCAGGUGCCUCUGUGCACCCCAGGUGGCUCUGUGCACCCCCAAACACCUCUGUGCACCCCCAAACACCUCUGUGCACUCCGGAUGGCUCUGGGCAGCCCCUCAGAUGGCACAAACAGCCCUGAACUGCCCCAAAGCCCCCCCUGUGCCCCCCAGCCCAAGGCCCAGGAGCACCUCUGACCCUGCUGCAGGAUCAGGCCCAUUGUUCCCCCCAGGGCUGCAGCAAACCGGGGCAGCAAACUGUCCCCAAAGUGUGUGUGGGGACAUGGAAUUAACCAGGUCUGCCCGGGGUCUUCCACCACUGAGAUCACCGUCCUAAGCUGGAGCUGCAGGGCUGCUGCCUGUCCCUCCCACCGUGGGGGCCAGGGGCUGCUCAGCCCCCCCAAAAAACCCCAUUUCCCCCGUGCCGGGGCUGGGGCUGGCAGCCCCUCUGUCCCCGGGGUGAGGGCUGCGGGAGCGAACACCCACGGACACACACACGGCUUUUCCUUGGAGUGUUUGGCAAGGCUGGGAGUGGGGGGACUUUUCUGGGGGUGUCGGCAAAGCUGGGCACUGGGGGGGCACCCAACUGGAGCUGCAGCGAGCUGGGGGUGCAGGGACACCCCGGGACGGGCAGAGAGCGAGUUUCAGCGCAUCUGCGCAGAAAUUAGAAAGAAAUCAAGAAGGAGAGAAAGAAGACGAGGAAAAGGCGAUGUUUGGGGCAGAGAAAAGGGUUAAAGCAGUGCAGAGGGGGAGAGGUGAAGGCCGAGGGCUGGCGGAAAGGGGGGAGAGGCGGGGAGAGGUUGGGGAGCGGGAGCUGGGCUGGGUGAGAACAUCCUGUACCCUCGGUAACAGCGGCCAGGGCGGGGUGAGGGGGCACUGGGGCGGGGGGAUGUGCCACACACCUCGCUGGGAAGUGGGGCACCCCUUGGGUCACCCGGAGGGGACGGGCUUGCACACUGGGGGGCAAUCCUGCUGACGGGGCGAGCCUGGGGAGGGUCUCGGGCUGCCCUCGGUCCCUUCAGUCUCACAUUCCCCGCUGCUUUCUAAUCAAGCAGGGAGAUCCCUGUGCAGGGCAGAGGAGGAGGAAGGGGCACCCCAAUGCUGGUACCCCUCCUUCCCCCGUCCCCCGAGUCUCCCCACCGCAGCCAAGCCCUCCUGCACAAGGAUGCCCCGCUCACCCCGCGCUUUGCCCUGAGCCUGUCCCCACCCUGCCGGGGUCCCCCUGUCCCCAGGGCUGCCAGCACCCCACAAGCGCCAGGGGCCCCUUCCUGUGUUUGUUAAGACGCCGUGAGUCAGGCGUCUGGUUUUCGGUUCAAGCCAAUAUUUACCAGCCGAGAGCUGCCAAAACAAAGCUGCGGCUUCACCAGUAAAUAUAGGGCUGAGAUGGGGUGGGUGGAGAGGAGGGGGAUUUAUGCGACCCCCACCUCAGCACAGCCACCCCCUUCCCACCUCUCUGGUGCCCCCAUCGUCCUCCUGCCAGCCUAGGGACACCACAAAAAUGGGGACACCACAAAAAUGGGGACACCACAAAAAUGGGGACACCACAGAGCCCCCACCGAGCACCCCAGUGUUUAGCCCUGCCUGUCCAGCCCCAAACAUCACUGCCCCCCCUUUUCCCCCACUGCAGGACUCGAGGGGUGUCAGAGCUUGGGGGGCAUUUCAGGGAGCCCAAGGCUGCGCUGCCCUGGGCUGGGGGUCCCUGCCGUGCUGGGGUCCCCGGGCCGUGGGCACGGUGCCGCUGCCCUCUGCCGGGGCUGGGCUUUGCUCACAUCCUGCCCCUGCCAAGAGCACAAAGCCCGGCCAGAGGCAGGCAGGGCUCCCCGCUGCGUGUCCCAGCAAAUGCCAGCCUCGCCGGGGCGCUCCCACUGCUGGGGACCCCGCGCAGAUGGGGAGUCCAGGGACAGACCCCUGUCCUGUGUCCCCCGGCCUCGCUCUGCCUGGGGCUGGCUGCCUGCUGCAGCAGAGGGGCUGCUGUCCCCAUCCCUUCCCCAGC